rnacentral:Y_RNA from 1 species
AGCUCGUCUGAUGGGAGUGGGUUAUCAGAACUUAUUAACAUUAGUGUCACUAAAGUUGGUAUACCACCCCCCCACUGCUAAAUAUGACUGGAAAA